GCAUGUCCUGACCUCAUAAGCGGCUCUUUUAAUGUUUUAUUGAUAGAGUGAAGGUCAGGAUUUAUUGAAUGCUUUUCUUCUUUGAAAACAUUGGGGGUAAAUUGAUGACCACAAUACAUUUUGGAAUGAAUAUGGUAGUAUAGGCGACAAUAUUUGUAUCACAAAACGUGACCUUCAUUGUUUUUUUCUGCAGAAUCCAACUCUUGAACACUAUUCAAGGUAUAAGGCAUCAGAUUUAAAAGCCACAAUUGUAGCUUUGCAAGAUCUUCAACUGAAUACCAAAGGCUGCCCUUUAAGUGCCAUUCGGAUGAAGUACAGACAAGACAAGUUCAAAAAUGUGGCCGCUAUGUCUUCGCCGAAACUGCGUGAAACUCUGUUCUGAAGAUAGAGAGUGAUUAACAAGUCAAGACUAAAGGGACUUCUAGUUCUAACAGAUAUGGUAUGGUGUAUACAAAAUAGAAGGAGAGUUGCUCAUUGUGAAUCCAAGGCCCUCAUGUCUCUGUCUCACCUAAUUCCCACCCCCAAACUUCUGUUCAUUGGUCCAUUCUUUUCCUGUACAUUUAAUGGCCAUUUCUUUUUCUGGGGUUCUUGAUAUGUUGUUUGAGGAAGAACCCCAUGAUAAAACAUGUGGCCUCUAAUACUUUUAAACUUGAUGUAAUGAUUUGUUGUUAACAUAAUUGACAAGUGACCUUUGUAGUUUCUUGGAA